UGAACGCUAGCGGCAGGCUUAAUACAUGCAAGUCGAGGGGCAUCAAGGUACACGAAAGUGUAUUGUUGGCGACCGGCGGACGGGUGAGUAAUAGGUAGGUAACCUACCUCAUACUGAGGCAUAGCUGGGAGAAAUUCCAGGUAAUUCCUCAUGAGGUUAUAUGACACAUGUGAUAUAAUCAAAGGUAUCGCAAGGUACUGGUAUGAGAUGGGCUUACUGACCAUUAGCUAGUUGGUGAGAUAAGAGCUCACCAAGGCGAAGAUGGUUAGGGGUUUUGAGAGAGAGAUCCCCCACAUUGGAACUGAGAGACGGUCCAGACUCCUACGGGAGGCAGCAGUAGGGAAUAUUGGGCAAUGGGCGGAAGCCUGACCCAGCCAUGCCGCGUGAAGGAAGACGGCCUUAUGGGUUGUAAACUUCUUUACUAUGCGACUAACUAGAUUUACGAGAUUAAUUCUAUAGAAUGUAGCAUAGCAAAAAGCACCGGCUAACUCCGUG
rnacentral:rRNA from 1 species